CAAGGGCGACUCGGCUGUGUAUCUCUGUGUCAGAAGCUUAGCCACAGUGUGGCACAGUCGUGUCCUUCCUGCUCACA